rnacentral:tRNA from 1 species
GGAGGUAUAGCUCAGUGGUAGAGCCCAUGCUUAGCAUGCACGAGGUCCUGGGUUCAGUUCCCAUUACCUCCA